rnacentral:rRNA from 1 species
UACGGGGGGGGUAAGCGUUGUUCGGAAUUACUGGGCGUAAAGGGCUGGUAGGCGGCCAACUAAGUUGGAUGUGAAAUCCCCAGGCUUAACCUGGGAACUGCAUCCGAUACUGGUCGGCUUGAAUCCGGGAGAGGGAUGCAGAAUUCCAGGUGUAGCGGUGAAAUGCGUAGAUAUCUGGAGGAAUACCGGUGGCGAAGGCGGCAUCCUGGACCAUUACUGACGCUGAGGCGCGAAAGCUAGGGGAGCAAACGGG